GGGGCUCGAUGAGACUUUGGGUCACCUCCCACCCGUGUUUAUUUUACCUUGUUGCUUCGGCGGGCCCGCCUUUACUGGCCGCCGGGGGGCUCACGCCCCCGGGCCCGCGCCCGCCGAAGACACCCCCGAACUCUGUCUGAAGAUUGAAGUCUGAGUGAAAAUAUAAAUUAUUUAAAACUUUCAACAACGGAUCUCUUGGUUCCGGCAUCGAUGAAGAACGCAGCGAAAUGCGAUACGUAAUGUGAAUUGCAAAUUCAGUGAAUCAUCGAGUCUUUGAACGCACAUUGCGCCCCCUGGUAUUCCGGGGGGCAUGCCUGUCCGAGCGUCAUUGCUGCCCUCAAGCCCGGCUUGUGUGUUGGGCCCCGUCCUCCGAUUCCGGGGGACGGGCCCGAAAGGCAGCGGCGGCACCGCGUCCGGUCCUCGAGCGUAUGGGGCUUUGUCACCCGCUCUGUAGGCCCGGCCGGCGCUUGCCGAUCAACCCAAAUUUUUAUCCAGGUUGACCUCGGAUCAGGUAGGGAUACCCGCUGAACUUAAGCAUAUCAAUAAGCGGAGGAA
rnacentral:rRNA from 1 species